rnacentral:rRNA from 1 species
UACGUAGGGGGCGAGCGUUGUCCGGAUUUAUUGGGCGUAAAGAGCGUGUAGGCGGCCAGGUAGGUCUGCUGUGAAAACUCGAGGCUCAACCUCGAGACGUCGGCGGAAACCAUCUGGCUAGAGUCCGGAAGAGGAGAGUGGAAUUCUUGGUGUAGCGGUGAAAUGCGCAGAUAUCAGGAAGAACACCCGUGGCGAAGGCGGCUCUCUGGGACGGUACUGACGCUGAGACGCGAAAGCGUGGGGAGCGAACAGG